rnacentral:tRNA from 1 species
GCCCACCUUGCUGAGGUAGCUCAGUUGGUAGAGCAUGAGACUCUUAAUCUCAGGGAUGUGGGUUUGAGCCCCAUGUUGGGCA